CGACUACAACGAAAAGUAUCUUGCUCUGCUUUAUAUUAACGAUCUUGAUAUUAUUAUCGCCAAUGCUUCAUACCCGUAACAGUUGCUGGCGCUAAUGAACCAUUUUAGCAUGCCAGCCGGGUUUUAAAAGAAGAAUGACUUGCUGCUGACGGACUUACUUGGAGUCGUCAGAGCUGAAUUUCGGACUUCUCAUAAUUUUGAGUAGGACUAAAGAUCCUUAAAUACUACUAAUAAAUGCUUUUUCUACCGUCUCUGGUAGGACAAUGGCGUGUUGCUUCGCUCCUCUGUGCAAACAUCGAAGUGGAGGUCCUACACGCUGCUCUUUGUAUAGAUUUCCAGCGAAUGACGCAAAGAGAAGACUGUGGACUCGCGCGCUGAGACGUGCCGAUCGGAAACCUAACAAUAACUCCCGUGUCUGCAGUUGCCAUUUCCCCAAAGGGAAGGACCACCCGCCGGUUUUGUUUCCAGACGGUCUACCCAAGAAUUAUACCAUGGCUAGAUGUGCAGCAACUGGAUGCACCAAUCAGUCCAAUGAAGUACUUAAGAUGUACAGCUUCCCAACGGAAACAGACCGAAGAGCCAAAUGGUUGGAAAUGGUCAGCAGGAAAGACCUGGACUUCAGGGACAAGCUGUGUCAAGCACACUUUGAAGAGGACCAGUUCGUUGGAGCAAAAAGGGGCCAAAUGAGGUUGAAAUCCAAUGCGGUCCCAACAAUAUUCCCAGAUCACCUCAAGCCUGAGAGGACAGUAUUCCCAGAUCACCCCAAGCCUGAGAGGACAAUGGCCCCUUUGUCUGCAGCAGCGGUUAAUAGAAUGAUCGUGGACCACGCAUAUUUUAAAACGUCAAUCUCCGGGGUUUGAGUGUAAGCCUGUGUUGUGUACCAGCAUGAGAGAUGUUGAAAUGGUUUGCUUUUCAUCAUUGCACAUGGCUGUGUUUGCAGGACUACCAGAACACGAAGUGCAGGAGGAACACCCUGACCAGGAGAUACCUUCGCUCAAUGAAGCUGAAGUAACUGACAAAGAGAGAUUGACCACUGUUACUACUCCCACUUCUGAAACUGUGGCAUGCCCACCAAUUGAAUCAUAUACAGGUUCGGCAGGUGUCCUAGCUACGAAAGCUGUCGAGGUGAAAGAAGAGGACAUCAUUGAAUUUAUCGUUGGGGAACCUGAAGAGAGAACUGCACACACUACUAACGUGUCUGAGUCUCCUGAGACACACAGCAUCGAGGGGCCCUGUGAAGUGGGAACUUGGGAACAAGCCACAGUGGAGAACACCACAAACUUGAAGUUUCAAGCCACUACUACUCAGAUUGCCCAGGCUGUUAUUUCGAAUCUCAAAAACGAGAACGACUUCCUUCGAGUCCAGAUUGCAAAGCUGGUCUCAGAACUGAGUGUUAAGCAGUGGACACAUGAACAGGAAGUCCGUGAUCUCCAGGAGAGGCUGGCGCUGUUGAAACAGAAGUGUUCAUGUGGGGCCAUGUCUGAAAGCACAAACACCACAUCAGAAGCAGCGCAUUCAAAUGCCAUGGUUGUCGAGAUAAAGACAGAACCAUUAUAACAUGUUAACAGGUUGAACUUAUAAAACAUUUAAUGUUUUAGUGUCAUAUUUUGUUGUAGAACAACAGCUUGCUUUUUCACUCAUGAAUUCUUCAUGAAAGAUACUGUACAAUGUGUUUUAUUUAUUUUGUAACCUACAGCCUAGAACCUUUCUACAGAGUUGGAUGAAUGUAAAUUGUUUUGUUUAUUUGGUGUGUAAUACUCAGAUUCAGACCAGUUACAGUGAAGAGUAACAUUAGAGGAUCAGUUUCCAUCAUCAAUACUUUAAUGACCGAAAGGAAUAUAUGUACAGUAUAAACAUUACUUGUAAGGUAAAUUUCUCAGAUGGUUAUAUUGAUCACCAAUGCUUCUAUUUUUGACCAAAAUGCAUUGAGUUUCCGAAGAUAUCUAUAAACAUUAUUUAUACAGAA